rnacentral:ncRNA from 1 species
CAAAGGCUUGGUCCUGACUUUACUAUCAGCUCUAACUAUACUUACACAUGCAAGUAUCCGCCCCCCUGUGAGAAUGCCCUACAGUUCUCUCAUGAGAACAAGGAGCUGGCAUCAGGCACAAUCCUCUGCAUUUGCCCACGACGCCUUGCUCAGCCACACCCCCACGGGAACUCAGCAGUGAUAAACCUUAAGCAAUGAGCGAAAGCUCGACUCAGUUAAAGUUAAUAGGGCCGGUAAAACUCGUGCCAGCCACCGCGGUUAUACGAGAGGCCCAAGUUGAUAAACAUCGGCGUAAAGCGUGGUUAGGGUGAAUUAUUAAACACUAAAGCCGAACGCCCUCCGAGCUGUUAAACGCCUGCCGAGGGUAAGAAGCCCCACCACGAAAGUGGCUUUACUCCACCUGAUUCCACGAGGGCCAAGAUACAAACUGGGAUUAGAUACCCCACUAUGCCUGGCCAUAAACAUUGAUAUGUCAACACGCCCACAUAUCCGCCCGGGGACUACAAGCGUCAGCUUGAAACCCAAAGGACUUGGCGGUGCUUUAGACCCACCUAGAGGAGCCUGUUCUAUAACCGAUAACCCCCGUUCAACCUCACCCUCCCUUGUUUUACCCGCCUAUAUACCGCCGUCGUCAGCUUACCCUUUGAGGGCUUAACAGUAAGCAAAAUUAGCACAGCCCAGAACGUCAGGUCGAGGUGUAGCGUAUGAGAGGGGAAGAAAUGGGCUACAUUCACUAGCCUAGUGAAUCACGGAAGAUGUACUGAAAACGUACAGCCGAAGGAGGAUUUAGCAGUAAGUAGAGAAUAGAGCGCUCUACUGAAACUGGCCCUGAAGCACGCACACACCGCCCGUCACCCUUCCCAGAACAAUAACCCUACGUACAUAAAACAACAAAAACUCUAAGGGGAGGCAAGUCGUAACAUGGUAAGUGCACCGGAAGGUGUACUUGGAAAAAU